GACGAACGCUGGCGGCGUGCCUAAUACAUGCAAGUCGAACGGUCUUUUCUAUGGAAGCUUGCUUCCGCUGAGAAGAUAAUGGCGAACGGGUGAGUAACACGUGGGUAACCUGCCCAUAAGAGGGGGAUAACAUCCGGAAACGGGUGCUAAUACCGCAUAGGUUUCUUGGUCGCAUGAUCGAGAAAGGAAAGACGGCCUUUGUGCUGUCGCUUAUGGAUGGACCCGCGGCGUAUUAGUUAGUUGGUGAGGUAACGGCUCACCAAGACGAUGAUACGUAGCCGACCUGAGAGGGUGAUCGGCCACAUUGGGACUGAGACACGGCCCAAACUCCUACGGGAGGCAGCAGUAGGGAAUCUUCCGCAAUGGACGAAAGUCUGACGGAGCAACGCCGCGUGAGUGAAGAAGGUUUUCGGAUCGUAAAACUCUGUUGUCAGAGAAGAACAAGUCGGAGAGUAACUGCUCCGGCCUUGACGGUAUCUGACCAGAAAGCCACGGCUAACUACGUGCCAGCCGCCGCCGUAACAC
rnacentral:rRNA from 1 species